GACGAACGCUGGCGGCGUGCUUAACACAUGCAAGUCGAACGGAAAGGCCUGCUUUCCCUUGUGGAUUGCGGGUACUCGAGUGGCGAACGGGUGAGUAACACGUGAGUGAUCUGCCCCCAACUUGGGUAUAAGCCUGGGAAACUGGGUCUAAUUCCCGAUAGGACUGCAGGGUGGUGCCUGUGGUGGAAAACGAUUUUCUAGUGGUUGGGGAUGAGCUCGCGGCCUAUCAGCUUGUUGGUGGGGUAAUGGCCUACCAAGGCGGCGACGGGUAGCCGGCCUGAGAGGGUGGACGGCCACAUUGGGACUGAGAUACGGCCCAGACUCCUACGGGAGGCAGCAGUGGGGAAUAUUACACAAUGGGCGGAAGCCUGAUGCAGUGACGCCGCGUGGGGGAUGACGGCCUUCGGGUUGUAAACUCCUUUCGACCGCGAGGAAGCCACCUGGUUGGAAGGGUGGUGACGGUAGUGGUAGAAGAAGCACCGGCUAACUACGUG
rnacentral:rRNA from 1 species